rnacentral:rRNA from 1 species
CAGGAUGAACGCUAGCGACAGGCUUAACACAUGCAAGUCGAGGGGCAGCAUAAAAGUAGCAAUACUUGGUGGCGACCGGCGCACGGGUGAGUAACGCGUAUGCAACCUACCUAUCAGAGGGGAAUAACCCGGCGAAAGUCGGACUAAUACCGCAUAAAACAGGGGCACCGCAUGGUGAUAUUUGCUAAAGAAAUUCGCUGAUAGAUGGGCAUGCGUUCCAUUAGGUAGUUGGUGAGGUAACGGCUCACCAAGCCGACGAUGGAUGGGGGAACUGAGAGGUUGGUCCCCCACACUGGUACUGAGACACGGACCAGACUCCUACGGGAGGCAGCAGUGAGGAAUAUUGGUCAAUGGGCGAGAGCCUGAACCAGCCAAGUCGCGUGAAGGAAGAAGGAUCUAUGGUUCGUAAACUUCUUUUGCAGGGGAAUAAAGUGCAGGACGUGUCCUGUUUUGUAUGUACCCUGAGAAUAAGGAUCGGCUAACUCCGUGCCAGCCGCGGC